rnacentral:rRNA from 1 species
GACGAACGCUGGCGGCGUGCUUAACACAUGCAAGUCGAGCGAUGAAGCACCUUCGGGUGUGAAUUAGCGGCGAACGGGUGAGGAACACGUGAGAAAUCUGCCUUCAACACUGGGAUAACUCCGGGAAACCGGGGCUAAUACCGGAUAUGAAACCUGCGGGCAUCCGCGGGUUUGGAAAGUUUUCGGUUGAAGAUGAUCUCGCGGCCUAUCAGCUUGUUGGUGAGGUAAUGGCUCACCAAGGCGACGACGGGUAGCCGGCCUGAGAGGGCGACCGGCCACACUGGGACUGAGACACGGCCCAGACUCCUACGGGAGGCAGCAGUGGGGAAUAUUGGGCAAUGGAGGAAACUCUGACCCAGCGACGCCGCGUGCGGGAUGAAGGCC